GGGGGGGGGGGGGGGGGGGGGGGGGGGGGGGGGGUCGGGCGGGGGGGGGGGGGGAGCGGGGGCGGGCGGGUGGCGGGGGGCGGGCGGGUGAGGCGUGGCUCGGCGUCGAGUUGUUCGGGGGGGAGUUCGGGGGGACCGUGAUGCUAAGAGCGCAUGCGUCCUACGGGGGGAAGCAGGGGAUCUGGGGAGCUUUGGUGUUGGUAUGAGCCGCUGUCGGAUUAGCUAGUUGGCUGGGUAAAGGCCCACCAAGGCCACGAUCCGUAGCUGGUCUGAGAGGAUGAUCAGCCACACUGGAACUGAGACACGGUCCAGACUCCUACGGGAGGCAGCAGUGGGGAAUAUUGGACAAUGGGCGCAAGCCUGAUCCAGCCAUACCGCGUGAGUGAAGAAGGCCUUCGGGUUGUAAAGCCCUUUUGUUGGGAAAGAAAAGCAGCAGAUUAAUACCCCGCUGUUCUGACGGUACCCAAAGAAUAAGCACCGGCUAACUUCGUG
rnacentral:rRNA from 1 species